rnacentral:rRNA from 1 species
UACGGAGGGUGCGAGCGUUAAUCGGAAUUACUGGGCGUAAAGCGUGCGUAGGCGGUUCGUUAAGUCAGAUGUGAAAGCCCCGGGCUCAACCUGGGAACGGCAUUUGAUACUGGCGGACUCGAGUUUAAUAGAGGGGAGUGGAAUUUCAGGUGUAGCGGUGAAAUGCGUAGAGAUCUGAAGGAACACCAGUGGCGAAGGCGACUCCCUGGAUUAAAACUGACGCUGAGGUACGAAAGCGUGGGUAGCAAACAGG